UCAGAUGCGAAAACAACUGCAGUGUAUGGGGAGCCUUCAGAAGUAAAGAUGCCCAAGAUAAAAAGGUGUAGAGCACAAAGUGGACUGCAAGAUUGACAGGUUGGUGGCCUCCACAUCAGUGCUGCUUCCAUGCCUUCCUGGCUUGCUCCUGGUCAUGGAAAAAUUGUAUUUAUCUUUUUGUGCUGAGGGAACCUCCAGAAAGAAACAAAAAAAUAAUUAAUUCCAUAGCAAUGGAGAAGUUAGGCCAUGAGGAUAAAAUACUGCUUAUGACCCUACUGUCCACAUACCUGCCUGACUUUUCUUAGCUACUGCCUCCAUGAAGGCGGAUGUAGUAUACAGAAGUCAGCAAAUGAGUGGAAAUUGGGAUCUACGCAAGAUCGAGUAUCUAGUUACAUUUUGGUCAUAUUCAAUAACCAAGGGCGUCUCAAUAUAGCACAGACGGCCUAUGUAUAUGAACCAAAUCCGACGAAAGGAAUACCCAAGCAUUUAAAAGGGAAACAACAUCAGUAUAGUGCAUAUCCACUACAUAGCUCACUAUAGUAGUCAGUAUAGAUGCACAAAAACUUGCUCUUAUUGCGUAUUGAGUGGCAAGUCGUGCAAUCGCAUACUUUGUGUUGGAGUUGUGUAUAGCCCGAGAUAUUUUGUUGUGUGUGAGAUAAUGACUGAAAAGAAAGGAAAAGAUAAAGUCCCCUAUGCCAAUGAUAAUGGCUGGCAGAAAGGAAACAUGCUUUUCACAUCCAGGAGAAAUAAAAUACGGAAGAAUCGAGAGAAGAUUAUGUCAACCUACAUAUGUAGCCUGAUUUGUGUAAAGAUCGUAGACUAGCAUAUGUGGCCUGUGAGUCUUACGAGUCUACGAAUAUAUGUCCCUAAAGCAAGUAGGGACACUCAUGGACUAGCAUAAAACAAUUCUCAACAGACAUACUUCACAGCUUAUUAUCUACUAAGAGUCUAAGAAGUAACCAAAAUGAGAACAUACUAUUGAAUUUUCCAUAAACAACACACAGUAUCGGGGGUUUUCUGAUUCAUAAAGAUCUGUCAAGAUCCAUUUGUAAAAUGCAUGUGAACCAUGUAGAAACAAAAAUAUUGAGGUGGUCCGUAUCAGCAUGCUCGAACUGCAGUAUCCGGAUGUAAAAGAUUAUAGGUUCCCAACGAAGUUCCUGUAAGAAACACGCACCCGCAACAGUCCAGUUCAGACUUCAAACUUGCCGUUUGUUUUGCCAAAGAAUUUGAUGCUAAAGCUAAGAGCAUGAAAUUAUUGUAUAGAAGUAUAGAAAAUGGAACCCAGAGUAAUUAUGUUUUCUCUUUCUACUUUUGAGAAACAUAAUAAUACCUGCUCGUCGUGCCUUUGGACUAAUUAUUUAAAUGAAGUGCAUAUAUCUGUACAUAAGAAAAUGAGUACUAAAAUAUUUCAAAUCAAGUAAAAGGGAAAUAAGCAUACACUUACUCAACAAAUGGUUAUGAAAAUACAUCACGUUUUACGGUUUGCUUCAUUUAUUUUGCAUUUCAGUUAACAAAAUUGCAUGUCUUUGCCUUCACUUCAAAAGUAAUUUUCGUAAAUAUGCCUACACACAAAAUAAUGAACCACAACUUACAUGCACAGAUUGCUCUACUUUUUGGGGGAACAUGAGUGUGCUAUUAAUCAAAACUGGUGAAGUCAACUCAUAGAGUAAACCGGCAAGAAACAAGAGUUAGAUGCAAUCCAAAUCCAGUAUAUGUAGUACCAUACCCUUCUGCAGUUUGUACCAUAGAGCAAGAGACAAGGGAAGGCAAUUUUAAUCCAAGGACAACCUCAUCGAUGAUUCUCUAUAUCAGGCCCACCACGCAAAGAGGCCCCACGAGAGCCUUCUUGUCCUGUCUAUAAAUGAGAGGCAAGAGCCAUCAAACCAGUGCACAACUAAGACAAAGUGGCUUCCUUUCACUAAUACCAACCUUCUUCCCAUCAGGCUGGAGUUCAUCAAGGAUAUAAGCCUGAAACUGGAGCCCACAAGCACACAGAGGAGGGAGAGCAACAAGGCAGGCUCCCAGCCCAUCCAAGGUAGAAGCGAACAACGCUAGUGAUGGUGACAGUGCAAGAUGAGAUGCGCAAGGGGCCAUGGACAGAGCAGGAGGACCUGCAACUGGUAUGCACUGUCCGCCUGUUCGGUGAUCGCCGCUGGGAUUUCGUUGCCAAAGUCUCAGGUUUGAGGGGUGGGAGACCUGCAAAUUAGGUAGCCAUUUUUGCAAUCCUUGGCACAAAGAUGCAAACAGCACGCAAUAUCAUUAUCUCUAACCAACUAUCUUCAUACAUCACCUUAUCUAUGACCAUGUAGGACUUAACAGGACAGGCAAAAGCUGCCGCCUCAGGUGGGUCAACUACCUCCACCCUGGCCUCAAGCAUGGGCGCAUGUCGCCGCAAGAGGAACACCUUAUUAUUGAGCUCCAUGCUCGAUGGGGUAACAGGUUUGGUCCAAAAGAAGAUCUUACUAAAGCAGCCUUUUUUCAUCUAAAACAGGUGAAACACACUAACAUCCUCUCUAUGUAUAGGUGGUCUAGAAUAGCACGCAGACUGCCAGGGCGUACGGACAAUGAGAUCAAGAACUACUGGAGGACACACAUGAGGAAGAAAGCACAGGAGAGGAAGACAGACAUGUCACCUUCUUCCUCCUCAUCAUCAUUUACAUACCAAUCCUGCCUCCUUGAAACUGCACCAAUAAUCAGGAUGGAUGAAAGCAGCACUCAUAAUGGCACUACCUGCUUCUCAAGUGUACUUAAGAGCAACCAGAGUGUCAUGGAUGGAUAUUCUAUGGACCAGAUAUGGAAGGAGAUAGAGGCACCGGCCAUGCUGCCCAUUGAUGAUACAUCAUGCAGCAAUCUCCCAUCUCCUCUGCUGCCAUUCACUAUAGGAGAUCACUACUGCCCUCCCGGGGUAAUCUGGAAGAUGGACAAUGGUGAUCUCAAAAUGUUAGCUCCACAAUUUGGUUAUGGUAAUGGAGAACGUUCCUGCUAUUGAAGGUUCAAGCUGUCAGGAUCGAGGUCAGGUUACUAAGAUACAUAUAUGUGCUUAACAGAUUUCCACUACCUAUGUAGCUAUGUCUGCAUAAACAUGUAUAUGCUUGCCAGUAGCUAUGUUUGCAUUAGUAUGGAGGGUGAUCUAAAUAUUUACAAAUCUACUGUAACAUUGUAAAUUUUCAGGUCUGCUUACGAUGUGUGUGCCUAUGUAGUGUGUAAAAUAGCUUAUGUCUCUUGCCCUUCACAGAAUGGAAUGCGAGAGCAAUUUAUCUGCAUGAUAAAGCAGUCAAUCUCCAAUGGUAUUUUGGUAAAAAUGUUAGACUGACACAAAUGUGCAUUAUACACCAUUUCACUAUCGGAAUUGUAAUAUCCUCCCCCACCUGAUUCUAAAGCUACAAACAGGGCCAUGAGAUUCUAUGGUCGUAUCUCAAGGUGCAAACAAAAGAAGAGGAAAAUGGGUACAGAAUCAGCAUUAUUUCUUCAAAUCGUUCUUGCUACUACACUCUCAUUUCCUUCCACAGGAUGUUGAGAUUGAAGCUCUUGAUAAAAUGGCUUCUGGAACCUAAGGAACGUCAAAGAGAACAAGUAUUUCUCAAAUAAACACGCGGACCCUGAAAACAUAUGUUUUUAAUUACAAACUGAGGCUGCUGUACAAACAUCUGUAUGCAUAUGUGAUCUGAGUGGAAUUGACAGACUUAGUGCAGAGUGAGUGGCCUAUCACUUCAACUCUCUUAAAAAGGCUGAGCAUUAGACUUUGCUAGAACAAAAGAAUGCUAGAUUGUAUACGACACAUAAGAUUAGCAGGAAGUCGCAGAUUAUCCAUUUAACAAAUAGGAAAGUUAGCACUUCAGUAAGAUAAAUAACGGGAGGUGGUAAGUGACUGGCACAUAAGAUUAGGAGGAAGUUGCAGAUCAUUCAUUUAACAAAUAGGAAAGUUAGCACUGCGGUAAGUUAAAUAAAGGGAGGUGGUAAGUGGCUGGCACUUCAGAUUUCUAUAGCUGUCUACUUUGCUGAAAGUACUAUCUGAUCUUGCAACUGAUAAGCAUGUAUUUUCUUCUGAUUGAGUGAAUCUAGUGCUUGAACCGCCUAGACACAACAACAACAACAAAGCCUUUAGUCCCAAACAAGUUGGGUAGGCUAGAGAUGAAACCCAUAAGAUCUCGCGACCAACUCAUUGUUCUAGCACAUGGAUAGCAAGCUUCCACGCACCCCUAUCCAUGGCGAGUUCUUUGGACCGCCUAGACACAACCCUCAUUAAUAUGUGUCCCUCCACAACAUUCAGAACUAGAUGAAAGCUUAGAUAUGGAGGUAGAAUUUAGAAGUUAUAUUUCUUCUCGUUCUUCUUCUAUGUUUAACAAAUAAAAAUUAAACAGGCUACAUAUUGUUUCAAGUGUAUCAAAACGCUGGCCGAGCUGCAGAUAAUCACCAUAGCAUUCAAAUUCACCUGUGAUUUAUAAUAACUAUGAACAAAGGCGAAAUCACAAGUACAAGCAGGUCGCAAGAUCUGAUUAGCAUGGAAAACCUUCAGAGCAGCCAGCGGCCAACAGUAGAAACACCCAGGGCAGAUACUCAAUACUAUACUUGAUGCAAAGUCAUCAGCAUCAAUUUUCAAUCAUUCAAACUAAAAGCUCAACACAGGAUUUGCUACACAAUGCAAAGCUUAGUACUAGUUAGUACCAGAAGGCUCUAGGUCAUUUGUGAGAAAGAAAAUAGGAGUUUUGAAUCCUUUCAAUGUAUGUUUUACCAUUAGACAGUCAAAUAAAAACAAUUGCACCUGCCCACAGCUUAUCCCUCAGUUAACCGUUCCUAAAGAGGGGAUGCACCCCAGUCCUCAGCACACAUGACUCGAAGUCUCACUGCUGGAAAAACGAAUCUACAGGUACAACAGAAGAUUAGGGGCAAGAGACAGCAGAAUCGCUAGAUAUCCCUGCGACUUGGAUUGCCAGCUACGAUCCAGACAACACCACCCAAAACAUAUAGAAAGCAUUAAUCUACAGCACAUACAGCAACCGCGUCCGUGGAUUGGUGGCAGUACUUCUUCUCACCUCUCCGUCCUUCGACGGUUGCGGACGCUGAGCGCCCCUCGUCGCCGACGCCGACAAGGAGAGAGCAGGGAUUUCGCAGAGAGAGAGCAGGGAUUUGUCGUUUUUUUUUUCUUGAAACGCAGGGGAUUGACCAUUGGUG
rnacentral:lncRNA from 1 species